rnacentral:misc_RNA from 1 species
GAUGAAGAACGUAGCGAAAUGCGAUAAGUAAUGUGAAUUGCAGAAUUCAGUGAAUCAUCGAAUCUUUGAACGCACAUUGCGCCCCCCAGUAUUCUGGCGGGCAUGCCUGUUCGAGCGUCAUUUCAACCAUCAAGCCCUGCUUGUGUUGGGGUCCUGCGGCUGCCCGCAGGCCCUGAAAACCAGUGGCGGGCUCGCUAGUCACACCAAGCGCAGUAGCACAUCUCGCUCAGGGCGUGCGGCGGGCUCCAGCCGUUAAAGCACCCACCUUUCGCAAGGUUGACCUCGGAUCAGGUAGGAAUACCCGCUGAACUUAAGCAUAUCAAUAAGCGGAGGA